UACAGAGGUCCCAAGCGUUGUUCGGAUUCACUGGGCGUAAAGGGUGCGCAGGUGGUUUGGCAAGUUUGAUGUGAAAGCCCCGGGCUUAACCCGGGAAUGGCAUUGAAUACUGCUUGAACUGGAGGGUCGGAGGGGGGACUGGAAUUCUUGGUGUAGCAGUGAAAUGCGUAGAUAUCAAGAGGAACACCAGUGGCGAAGGCGAGUCCCUGGACGAUGCCUGACACUGAGGCACGAAAGCCAAGGGAGCAAACAGG
rnacentral:rRNA from 1 species